CUGGAACUGUGCAGCUUGCCCAAGGCCACACGGACUGGUUCUUUUCUUGGGACACACAGUGGGGAAAUUUAACUCCCAACUUUUCACGUGCUGACCUGUUCUGACUUUAUAUUUGGAUUUGAAUUGCUAAAUGAAAGAGGUGCUCCCUCUUCAGGACACAUUGGAGAACAAUAUGUUUCUAUGCUUCUGGAAGAAUGGGACAUUUUUAGCCCAAUUACUCCUCCUUUGGUAUGAACUCAAAUCAAAUUAUGUCAUGAAAUAAUCAGAUAACCAUGUCACAUCAACUCAGACUCUGCUGCAAUGUGCUUCCAGCCAAUUCGAUCCACAUGGCUAUUCUGCUUGUUGAAUCUCACUUGAGGUUCAAAACCGGGAAUGAUUUUGCUAUCUGUACUCCCCUUGCUAUCUGCACAUCAUUAAUAAAAUAGUCAACCAAAUAGUCUUAACUUUGUUCAUUAACAUGUAAUCAACCCAGAAGACAUAUUUAAAGUCUGUUUAAAGCUAAACCUGCAAAACAAGGCCUCACCAGUUUUACAGUGAUCUGCAUUGUGCCUCAUUUGAUCUCCUGAAAUCAUCCCCAAUUAGUAUCCACAAAGUAACCUGGCAACAUCUGAUAUUAAA